rnacentral:rRNA from 1 species
UACGUAGGAGGCGAGCGUUUGUCCGGAUUCACUGGGCGUAAAGGGCGCGUAGGCGGCGGCUUGAGUCCCUGCGUGAAAUCUCCCGGCUCAACCGGGAGGGUGCGCGGGAUACUGGGCGGCUUGAGGACAUCAGAGGAGAGCGGAAUCCCCGGUGUAGUGGUGAAAUGCGUAGAUAUCGGGGGGAACACCAGUGGCGAAGGCGGCUCUCUGGGGUGCACCUGACGCUGAUGCGCGAAAGCGUGGGGAGCGAACCGGG